GAUGAACGCUGGCGGCGUGCCUAAUGCAUGCAAGUCGAGCGAACAGACGAGGAGCUUGCUCCUCUGACGUUAGCGGCGGACGGGUGAGUAACACGUGGAUAACCUACCUAUAAGACUGGGAUAACUUCGGGAAACCGGAGCUAAUACCGGAUAAUAUAUUGAACCGCAUGGUUCAAUAGUGAAAGACGGUUUUGCUGUCACUUAUAGAUGGAUCCGCGCCGCAUUAGCUAGUUGGUAAGGUAACGGCUUACCAAGGCAACGAUGCGUAGCCGACCUGAGAGGGUGAUCGGCCACACUGGAACUGAGACACGGUCCAGACUCCUACGGGAGGCAGCAGUAGGGAAUCUUCCGCAAUGGGCGAAAGCUUGGCGGAGCAACGCCGCGUGAGUGAUGAAGGUCUUCGGAUCGUAAAACUCUGUUAUUAGGGAAGAACAAAUGUGUAAGUAACUAUGCACGUCUUGACGGUACCUAAUCAGAAAGCCACGGCUAACUACGUG
rnacentral:rRNA from 1 species